rnacentral:rRNA from 1 species
UAAUACGGAGGGGGUUAGCGUUGUUCGGAAUUACUGGGCGUAAAGCGCGCGUAGGCGGAUUGGAAAGUUGGGGGUGAAAUCCCGGGGCUCAACCCCGGAACUGCCUUCAAAACUCCCAGUCUAGAGUUCGAGAGAGGUGAGUGGAAUUCCGAGUGUAGAGGUGAAAUUCGUAGAUAUUCGGAAGAACACCAGUGGCGAAGGCGGCUCACUGGCUCGAUACUGACGCUGAGGUGCGAAAGUGUGGGGAGCAAACAGGAUUAGAUACCCUGGUAGUCCACACCGUAAACGAUGAAUGCCAGUCGUCGGAUAGUAUACUAUUCGGUGACACACCUAACGGAUUAAGCAUUCCGCCUGGGGAGUACGGCCGCAAGAUUA